ACAGACACACGGGCAAGCGAGUAGGUAAGUAAAUAGGUAGGUAGAUAGAUAAUGGAUAAUCCACGAUGGCUGAAAAAAGUGGACAAACAGAGAUCUUGAUCUAUAAACGUCUGGUGCGACCUUUUUCAUAGUAAAAUAAUUGAUUCGUAUUUUAUUGAUGGCACGCUAAAUAGUCGUAAAUACGAGAGAAUUUCAGAAGACGUUUUGCCAGAAUUGUUAAAAGACAUUUCACUGUAUAUAUGACAAUUCAUGUGGUUCCAAUAAGGCGAAUGUUCUGCUUACUCAGCAUGAAAUGUUAUAGAAUUUCCAACAGAAAAUUUGGAGAUUGUUGGAUUGGUCAAUCAGGAAAUAACAAAUGGCUGGCAAGACCUGACACCUCUAGAUCUUUAUUACUGGAGAAAAUUAAAGGAAGAAGUAUGCCACAAAAAACCAACAAUCAAACUUGGAAUGCAAGAACAUAUAAAGAGAACUUGCUCUAUAAUAGAUACAAAUGAAAUUUGUCAGGCAGUGCCAUCAGUAUUACAAUGUUUUAGACUAUGUAUCCAUGUUCAAGGUUGUUAUUUUAAACACUUGUACUAGCAUUAAGUAUGUAUAUAACAUGUUACAUGUAAAUCAUUGAAGUAUUCGAAGAGUGCUCUGAAGCAAUCUAUUUUCUAUUGCAGUUGACCUUAGGUAACCUUGAAUGACCUUCAUAAUACUCUACCAAAUUAUAAAUAAGAAACCAAUUAUAAAUAAGAUACUAUUGCAUU